rnacentral:rRNA from 1 species
GAUUAACGCUGGCGGCGUGCAUAACACAUGCAAGUCGAACGAUGAAACUUUACUGACUUCUUCGGAAUGAUUUAAAGCGGAUUAGUGGCGAACGGGUGAGUAACGCGUGAGUAACCUGCCUUACACAAGGGGAUAGCCUCUGGAAACGGAGAAUAAUACCCUAUGAAACCAGACAAUCGCAUGAUAAUCUGGUCAAAAUGUUUAGUGGUGUAAGAUGGACUUGCGUCUGAUUAGCUAGUUGGUGAGAUAAAAGCUCACCAAGGCAACGAUCAGUAGCCGGCUUGAGAGAGUGUACGGCCCCAUUGGGACUGAGACACGGCCCAGACUCCUACGGGAGGCAGCAGUGGGGAAUUUUGCACAAUGGGGGAAACCCUGAUGCAGCGACGCCGCGUGAUUUAGAAGGCCUUCGGGUUGUAAAAAUCUUUUGUAUAGGAAGAAAAUGACAGUACUAUACGAAUAAGGUCCGGCUAAUUACGUG